UCAUCUCUUGCUGAUUGUCUGAAUCAUUCCCGCACAUGUUAAUUGAGAUCUCUUCCUACAUGGAUGAGGGCCCGGAGCUAAUGACUCAACAAAUUAUUUGAAUGAUUUACAAAAAAAUAUUUCAUGAAUGCUUCCACUUCUAAUUCUAGUAAUUUAUAAUUUAGGGUGAUGAUCUAGUAAUUAAUGAGACAGCCCCAUAUAUUUCACGGGACAUUAUGCUUUCAUGCACAAAAUCUAGAUCAUCCUCCUUGUCUGAAUUGAUAUAGCUCUUGCAACUCACCCUUUGUCCUCUACCGAUUCCUGUCAAUCUGUCAAAUGAUUAUCCUUCGGAGAACUGUGCCGCUUUUUGAGAAACUUCUACUCAGAUCAUACGAUCUGUUCGAAAUAAACAGUGGCGGAAUUGGCUGGUAGCCCGUUGGAUCAACAGCCGAGGCCCAGCGAAUCCAUCCAAGGGAGUUCAGAGGGAAGGGCGGCGACGGCUGUAAGUGGGGGCCGGCGGCUCCUGUCGAUGAGAUUGAAGGGGAGAAGACGACGGCAAAAAUCCCGCUUAGGAUUCCCACCGGCGGCGCGUUCGGUGGCCUGUCAAAUAACGGCCGGUAAGCGCCGGGGAAAUCCGGCCACCGGCGCAGGCGCCGGGGAAGAGGAUACGCCGACGGGAAC
rnacentral:lncRNA from 1 species